rnacentral:lncRNA from 1 species
GCUGACUCUCUUUUCAGACUCAGCCCACUUGCACCCAAGUGAAUUAACAGCCUUGUUGCUCACACAAAGCCUGUUUAGGUGGUCUUCUAUACGGACAUGCUUGACACUUGGUGCCAAAAUCUGGGCCAGGGGGACUCCUUCGUGAGACCGGCCCCCUGUCCUGGCCCUCAUUCCGUGAAGAGAUCCACCUGCGACCUCGGGUCCUCAGACCAGCCCAAGGAACAUCUCACCAAUUUCAAAUCGGAUUCCCAGCCAUAUGAAGACACCCUAGCUGGACGAUCAGUCCUUGUCAAAAGUCUGACCCCUCAAACUCUACAGCCUCAAUGGACCAGACCCUACCCGGUCAUUUAUAGCACACCAACUGCCGUCCAUCUGCAGGACCCUCUCCAUUGGGUUCACCAUUCCAGAAUAAAGCCAUGCCCAUCAGACAGCCAGCUUGAUCUCUCCUCUUCCUCCUGGAAGCCACAAGAUUAGGCCGAGAGCCGAUCAGACAAACAACCUACAACCCUUAAGCUCCUGGCAGCGCCCAGCCAAGGCCAUGCUUCCUUGCAACACUCCUUCCAAAUGGCCAUCCCAGCAUGCUUCCAAGCAGGCUUCAUCCGUUCCUCUGGACCCUCAUCUCUUAAGACCUGCCGCCUAUAAAAAGGAUUAUAUCUUGAGACCCUAUCCUCUAAAAUUUUUUCCACACCCAAAACAAAAAAUCUCUGGGUCAAAAGUCUAAAACGCUUAGGCUGGCAACCAUCAGAUCCUUGCCCAUGGUGUCCUCAAGCCUACUCUCAUGAAAUGGACAACAGUACACGCAUAUGGGGCCAGUUCCACAUAUUUGGCAACCAGACCAGCAUCCAGGACAACACAAAGAUCUGCAAUCAGAACUAUUGAACUUCUCCAUUCAGACCGCCACUCACACCUAUGGGAAAAGGGUAAUGUAUCAUCGGCUUAGCAACAGGGAAUACUAUUCGUAUGAUGGAAAAUGGGGACAAAAGGCUUUGGUACAUAAAACAUUAUUCCUUCCUUGGCCUAAAAACUCAUCGCCACCUACAUUAAAGCUAAUAUGC